rnacentral:rRNA from 1 species
AUGGAGCUCCUGAACCCAAGUCCAGAUAUGCCUAUUUCAGGAGGUAAACUGGAGCUGUUGCGGAUGGCGCCUGUAUCUUGUGCAGCAACCGCAUCUGCUGUAUGUGUUGCUGUUGCAUUGGUGCUCGAGUCCUUGGAGUACCAGCCUGUUAUCUGUGAUGAGUUGCAGGUUGGUCCUUGUAGUGUUACUGUCUGGUCUGCUGAUGACACAGUUGCGGUUGGCCAUGCUGCAACGCCCCUGGAUCAAGGAUUGCAUGAGUGUUGUUAUUAUGUUGCUCCUGUGUUGGUACUUUUUUGGCAAAGGCAAAGAAAGAUGUUGCAAAGCUGCAAGAGAAGGAAGAAGCACGACGCACCGAGUCUGCCUGAGCUCUUCAAAGAACUCGAGGUCGUAUAUGGCAGAGGCGGCAGCGAAGUGGACGACCCCGGCCAGCCGGUGCCGCUCGAUGUGGCUCAGCGCCACGUUCUUCUGCAGGUCCGCUUCGUCACUGGCAUUCCCGGUGUUGUUCUCAACAAUGGUGUUGUUGGUGCCGUUCUUCUCGGCGGCGGUGGUGGUGUUGCUGGCGCUGCCUUCCACGGUGGUGUUCUCGACGAUGGUGUUGUUGGUGCCGUUCUUCUCGGCGGCGGUGGUUGUGUUGUUGGCGCUGGCUUCCAUGGUGCUGUUGGUGGUGGCAUUGUUCACGGCCGUGGAGGCGCUGGCUUCCACGGUGCUGUUGUUGGUGGCGUUGUUCACGGCGGUGGUGGCGCUGGCUUCCAUGGUGCUGUUGUUGGUGGCGUUGUUCACGGCGGUGCUGGCGCUGGCUUCCACGGUGCUGUUGUUGGUGGCAUUGUUCACGGCGGUGGUGAUAUUGGUGGCGUAUGUGAGAUGCCGGAACAUGACGCCGGUGCUGCGCAGCACCUGGACCGUCGACGCCGACCUGUUCUCGGCACCAACCACGAUCCAUACCAGGGGUGGCGGGACGUGCCGCAGCGUGUGCCCGAGCCUCGUCACCGACGCCUCCUGCGACAUGCCGUCCUCGUCCGGCCUUGUGACGGUGACGAUCAGCAGGAGGCCGAUGUCAGGGACAGCAGGGGGCGACGGCGGAGCCACUCGCUGAACACCGCCAAACGGAAGGACCGAGGCGCGGAUGCCGUCGAUGAACGGGCCGCCGGUGGCGGCCAGUGGCGCCAAGGCGCCGACGACGAAGCAGACGGCGAGGUGGAUGACGACGGCUUUGCGCUUGCUCCAUCUCUGCGCCCUCUUCCUGGACCUCUCCGCGGAGUCCAUCCCCAGCUACCGCUGCUUCUUCUCUUCUCCCUACCUGCUCUCGCCUGA